rnacentral:lncRNA from 1 species
ACAGCCGUUGUUGUCGGAUACUCGGAUUGAAGAACAGGAUCGACCAUCCAGAUCAAUCAUCAAUCAGGUACUCUUAAUUAAUUGACAAGAAAAUCGGUGGUUGAUUUAUCAAGAAAAUGGUUAUCAUCACUCUUACGAAAACGAAAGUAAGGUUACAACGACAUAUAGUAUUUUUUUAAUCACAAAUUAGGUCUACACAAGAAGCUAAUAAGCACAACAUUUAAAUAUAACAUGCGGUACAAGAGAAACAUGCUUUCAACUAUUAAUAGUCAUUUUAGCUUCUAAACUUUGCACCGAGGGUCAACUUCAUCCCUCAUCUCCCAUAAUGGCCAAUCUAGUACCUCAACUUUUAUUUUUAGAUCAAACACGUCUUUGGGCUGAUAUGGGCUCCAUAUUAGCAUGAAACUAGUGCGAAAAGUCAUUUUUGCCCUUAGCUCCUUCUCCCCCUCCUCAAAUUUCCACCGGAAUUAACAACAUUAUCCAAAAUAUAUAAGUAUGAACAUAUAUAUAUUUACUGCGGGAGUAUAAAUAUGUACCUGGAGCAUGCAUAUCGUACCACUAGUAUAUGAG